rnacentral:tmRNA from 1 species
GGGGCUGAUUCUGGAUUCGACGGGAUUUGCGAAACCCAAGGUGCAUGCCGAGGGGCGGUUGGCCUCGUAAAAAGCCGCAAAAAAAUAGUCGCAAACGACGAAAACUACGCUUUAGCAGCUUAAUAACCUGCUUAGAGCCCUCUCUCCCUAGCCUCCGCUCUUAGGACGGGGAUCAAGAGAGGUCAAACCCAAAAGAGAUCGCGCGGAUGCUCUGCCUGGGGUUGAAGCGUUAAAACGAAUCAGGCUAGUCUGGUAGUGGCGUGUCCGUCCGCAGGUGCCAGGCGAAUGUAAAGACUGACUAAGCAUGUAGUACCGAGGAUGUAGGAAUUUCGGACGCGGGUUCAACUCCCGCCAGCUCCACCA